rnacentral:rRNA from 1 species
UGCGUAGGGGGCUAGCGUUAUCCGGAAUUACUGGGCGUAAAGGGUGCGUAGGUGGUUUCUUAAGUCAGAGGUGAAAGGCUACGGCUCAACCGUAGUAAGCCUUUGAAACUGAGAAACUUGAGUGCAGGAGAGGAGGGUAGAAUUCCUAGUGUAGCGGUGAAAUGCGUAGAUAUUAGGAGGAACACCGGUGGCGAAGGCGGGUCUCUGGGCAACUACUGACGCUGAGGAGCGAAAGCGUGGGGAGCGAACAGG